ACAGAACCUAUAUCUCAAAAUGUGGGCCCUAUUGCAACUCAUGCAUCUAGUGGGAGUGCUUUUUCAGGUCUGAUUAGUUCUCUCAUGGCUCAAGGUUUGAUCUCAUUGACAGCACCUGCUUCAGUUCAAGUACAUCUAAGAGUUGAGUUCCAUCUGGAUCUCCUUGAGGUGCAACAUGAGUCUGCAAUAAAAGGCUCUAUAUGCUGAUCUUCCAAGACAGUGCACUACUUGUGGCUUACGUUUCAAGUGCCAAGAGGAACACAGUAGUCACAUGGAUUGGCACGUUACAAAGAAUCAGAUAUACUGGGUUUGUGAGUACUAAUGUGUGGCUCAAUGGUGCAAAAGCAUUGGGAGUUGAUGCAAUUCCUGGGUUUUUGCCCACUGAAGUUGUUGCUGAGAAGAAGAAUGAUAAAGAAAUGGUUGAUCAUGCUGACGAGAAUCAGAAUGUAUGUGUAUUAUGUGGAGAGCCCUUUGAUGAUUUUUACAGUGAUGAGAUAGAGGAAGGGAUGUAUAAAGGGGCUGUAUACUUAAAUGCACCUGAUGGCACACCGACAAACAUGGACAAAUCCCAACUAGGUCCAAUCGUGCAUGCAAAGUGUAAAUCUGAGUCCACAGUAGUUCCUCCUGAAGAUUUUGCUAGAUGAAGGGGGUUUCAAGCGAGGUCUCACCACCUGCAUCACUCCUUCAAAUGCCAAAUUGGCAAUCAACAAUCACUUGGCAACUCUGGCUCCAAUAAGGAGAAUAACAAACUCUGAUCCACAUCUCCUAUGUGAGCAAUCAUAGUUGUUAAAAUCUUUUUUUGAUAAAUCAUAGUUGUUAAAAUCUUUUUUUGAUAAAUCAUAGUUGUUAAAAUCUUAUGAUUUGCAAUACAAUUCACAAUUUAAAUAAUGAAUUCCAAUGGCUUAUUUUCAAAUUUAAUGAUUGAAUACUUUUCUGAAAAAAAUGUUGUAUUAUUUUUUUGAAUCUUACCAUUCAAUUGUGAAUCUUGUAAUUGUAUUCAUAUGCUUCAAAUCAAAUUGAUUGACACUUAGUUUUUGUACUUCUGUUUUAAAACCCUUAUGAUAAUUUGAAUUAUUUAAAACCUACAUGAAGACUGUUUUGACUUUGCUUUCCAUCACGUAAAGGUUAAAGGAACAUUAUGUGUGGGUUAAUUGACUUCAAUAUCAAAUCUUAUCAUAUCAUUUUGCACAUGUAGUAAAAUCAUUUCUCUAUAUAUUAAGUUUUUAACUUUUUAGUACCUAAAUCUUUAAUUCUCAACAAAUUUGUAAAAGAAAAAUCAAUCUUAUGCUUUACAAUUUUAUUUGAUUUGUUUCACCCUUCUCUACAUAUUCUCUUUCUUUCUCCUGCAUAUUCUAGGAUAAAGUUAUGAUAAACCUAGAUCCAAUCCAAGUCUAAACCUGUUACACAUCCUUUAAACCACUCAAAUAUAUAGAGUACAAAGAAACUAGAAACCUAAGAGUAAGAUGGAGGUGCUAGGUGAUGAGUUAAGAAGUUCUACUUGAAACUAAAAGAAAUUUAAAAAAAAAAAAAAAAAAAAAUCAUUUGGAUUCCCAUAACUAGUAAAAUAAAUAUAAUCAGAUGCUAACACAAAGCAAAAGUUCAUUGGAGCUCCAAAUCUACCAGAGAAAAAGAUUAAAAUAGAAACUUCUGUAUCAUUAUUUAAUAGCUCUAACUAAAAUUCUCUCAAGUAUUGUCAAUUAGUCAUGCCCUCUAAAUAUUGAGCUCUCUCUCUCUCUCUCUCUCUCUCUCCCCUUUUUAUUUUUGACCUUAUAACUAUUGACCCCUUAGAACCAGUUUAAGAGUUAACCCCUCACACCUUACUAUAUUCAAACUUAACCCAAUGAUCACUAGCCACCUCUCUCCUUCCUGAUAUCAAAUCUCAAUCGACUAAGGGCUGCAUUAAUAUACUUAUUUCUAAUGUGUUUGUUUUUUCAGUUAUAAAGAGUUUUUCCUUUUGACAAUAUAAUAAGAAGGUUGCAAUUGGGAUAAUGAAAAAAAAUUGAACCUAAUUAGUCUGUCAAAACUGCUAAAACAAAAAAAAUUAUCUACACAAGUAAUAAGUUCUUGCUUUGAGGAAGAUGGACAAUUAUCUGAUUAUGUUAAAUAGAAAAUGGAAUUAAAUUCAAAAUGUGUUUAAAGUUAGUUCUGUACUUAAUUAGUUCAACAUGAAAGGUAACAUUUUGAACAAAGUGAUCGGUAAGCCUACUAUGCAUAGACAUACUUUAAUUUGCAGCAGAGAGAAUAAUGAUACAGAAGAGAAAGAGAUCUUAUUUAAGUAAGGUGCCUUUUUAUUGGACAAGGGCAACCCGAUUGUUGUUCAUAAACAACAUUUCUUGGAACAAGCCAAAGAGCAAGAAUAAGGUAGUACAAGGGGAAAAAAAGAAAACUACAAUGCUUUUUAAACAACAUGGGAUUGGAUCAACAGAAAAAAUGAAGAUGCUAAA